GGAAGUAAAAGUCGUAAAAAGGUUUCCGUAGGUGAACCUGCGGAAGGAUCAUUAAUGAAUUUUAGGGUGUCUACUUGUAGAGCCUGACCUCCAUUUUCUAACUCUGUGCAUUUAUUGGCGGGACUUGGUGAAGAAAGAAAUGGGUGUUAAAAACCUUGAUCUUUUUCUUUGCCUUGACCUGCGGCUCAUUUUAAACACCAGUCAAAGAAUGUAAUGAAAUAUUAAAAUAAAAUAAAACUUUCAACAACGGAUCUCUUGGCUCUCGCAUCGAGGAAGAACGCAGC
rnacentral:misc_RNA from 1 species